CCGCGCUCUGGGCCACGCCCUCAAGUGUUCUCUCAGCAGAUGGCGUAUAAAAGAGGUAUCCUUCCGCAAAGCUCUGGGGAGAAAAGUCCUCUAGCUCGUCCCCUUCCACGAAGACCUCAAAGACGGGGCCAAAUGGAAAAGAUCUGACAGGAAGUUCCUGCAGCUCAGGCUCAUGGGCUUAUGUAGCCAGGUAUGAGCCCAGCAAGGGGAAGAACAGACAUUCCUAAAGCCACUGGGACCGCACUGAAUUCCAAAGUGGAGCCCACAGUGCAGAUGGCAAUCGAUUCUGGAGCUGGCAAUUAUGAUACGCUUUGCUGUAUUUAUCCGUACAAAACAUGGUCUGAAUGAAGUGCUGGGAUGGACGAGGAUUGGGAUGUGGACUGCUUUUCCUCUGGGCCUGCUGAGCCGAAGCACGGAGAGGAGCGCGAGGGGAGGAGCAGCAGUGGCACGAACGCCUCCGAUGAGGCCCGUGAAACGCUAUCUCUCGCAGGCAGCUGCUGAGAGCCUCAUGACGUGUGCCAGGCACAGCGUUCCUGCCAGCCUGCAGCUCCUCACCUCGCGCAGCGGGUCAGGAGUCCCACACCAGCACUACAGGUUCUCCACACAGACCCUUCCUGCAAAGUGUUGCCUCGGUGGCAAACCGCUUCCCCUUGCUCAUCAGCAGCCCUUCUUCACUGGGCCAAGCGGCUCUACUGAAAGCAGUGCAAAGCAGAACAGACCAGCUUACUAAGCCAUCUACCUGCAAUAAAUUCACUUCCUAAAAUAGCUGCA
rnacentral:lncRNA from 1 species